rnacentral:rRNA from 1 species
CAGCAGCCGCGGGAAUACGUAGGGUGCAAGCGUUAAUCGGAAUUACUGGGCGUAAAGCGUGCGCAGGCGGUUAUAUAAGACAGAUGUGAAAUCCCCGGGCUCAACCUGGGAACUGCAUUUGUGACUGUAUAGCUAGAGUACGGCAGAGGGGGAUGGAAUUCCGCGUGUAGCAGUGAAAUGCGUAGAUAUUCGGAGGAACACCGAUGGCGAAGGCAAUCCCCUGGGCCUGUACUGACGCUCAUGCACGAAAGCGUGGGGAGCAAACAGGAUUAGAUACCCCCGUAGUCCCUGUCUCUUAUAC